GACGAACGCUGGCGGCGUGCUUAACACAUGCAAGUCGAGCGGUAAGGCCCUUUCGGGGGUACGACGAGCGGCGAACGGGUGAGUAACACGUGGGUGACCUGCCCUCAGCUCUGGGAUAAGCCUGGGAAACUGGGUCUAAUACUGGAUAUGACUCCACGGUGCAUGUCGUGGGGUGGAAAGCCUUGUGCGGCUGAGGAUGGGCCCGCGGCCUAUCAGCUUGUUGGUGGGGGAUGGCCUACCAAGGCGACGACGGGUAGCCGGCCUGAGAGGGCGACCGGCCACACUGGGACUGAGACACGGCCCAGACUCCUACGGGAGGCAGCAGUGGGGAAUCUUGCGCAAUGGGCGAAAGCCUGACGCAGCGACGCCGCGUGA
rnacentral:rRNA from 1 species